rnacentral:lncRNA from 1 species
CACAGUGUGCACCUGUAGAUGGUCAGCCCAGUUCUUUCAGCUGCACCACCAGAGACACCCUUACUGACAGAAUAGCCUCUUCCCUCUGUGCAAAAUUUCUCUCUGUGCACAUUUUGAUGAUCUCCCCACCUCCCUCAUUUGAUUUCGGCUGUGCUUGUUGUUAUAAUUGUUUUACAAGUGUAUGUACAAACAGUGUGCUACCUCUUUAAAAUUUUCUAAAUACCUUGGGAACUCAAGCUUUCGGAGGAGGCUUCUCCAGCCACCUGUGGCUGCAAAACUGUGUGUGAAAACUUGGAGACUGUCAGGAGUGGAAGGGUGAUGUGUCCUGGCUCCCCGCCGUUCUAGAAUGAUAGGACAUUGCAAUAGCAGCAAAUUUGGAAAUCGUGUCUGACUUGGAUACUUUACUGAUGCAGAAACUGGAGUGUGGAGAAGAUUAGUGAUCUCACGUUCACCAGAAUUUGCCUUAUUGUGUGAUUUAGAGCUCAUCUGCAGUAUCUCCAAGAUCCCAGAUGCUGCCACAUUCCUUGCAAUACAGCCCCUUCCACUAUCUUCAAGGUCCUAGCCUGAGUCCUUCCUUGCUCAAUGAGGAGUCUAAAGACCUUUCACGGCUUUGGAGUUAAGAGGGUGAAAGAUACAUCAAAGAAAACCAACAAUAUGAAGAGAUAAGAAUGAGGAAUGCCUGUUGGAUUUGGAACCUCCAAAGGACCCAAAAGCAAGAGAAUAUAAGAGGCCUCCUCAUCACAAAUAAAAGAGCUGAGAGAAAAUGUUUCAAGAUGCUUCACUGGAAAAACUCACCAGGUGCCUGUAACUAAUUUCUCUAAUUGGCAUUCUCACUCUCACAUUCAAAACUUUCACAAUGAACAUACAACACAAUCAAUGAUUACCAGCCAGUAGGGAAGUGGGUCUUAAGUAAUCAAAUAAGAAACUGAGAACAUGCUUUAAAUAGAAAAGAAAGAGAGAAAACACAAAAAUAACUCGUAGUAUUUCCAAAGAAACAAGAGGUGAUCAAAUAUCCACAAAACAAGAACCUUAGCCAAAGCAAAUAAGCAGAAUAAGAAAAAUUUCUUAGAAAUUAAAACAUGGCAUGUCAGAAUCACUUAAGUGCCUAAGUGACAAUAUAUGUUAAAGCCCAAAAUACAGUUAAACAAUAUAUUAUUCAUCUGUGGAAAGAUUUAUGAGCAAAGAAUAUAUAAAGAACUAAUAUGUUGAGUUACAGAUUAGCAUCCCAAGUGCAAUUAACUAUUGUUUUAAUUUAGAAACAUAAUUACAACGCAAAAGGUAAUAUUUUAGUUCUUAGAAAUGUAAUAGGCAAAAGAUGAAAAAGAUACAUACACAUGCAUUAGGCUAUGUAGAUGCUUUAACAUUUCCCUUUCAGAGUAAAAUUCAAGAGAAUUUAAACAAUGAAAUCCACCAAAUGGCCAUUUAAAUAAUUGUGGAAAAAAUUUUAUAUGCCUGCUCAUAUUACAAUUGAAAUUAUCUUGGAAAUUGUUUUCAAAUGAAGAAGACAUUAUUAUUUUUAGAACCUUUUAUUCUAUUUUAUCAAAUGUCACUUAUACUGGUCUUUCAUUAUUCUUCAGGUUAGACACUAUUCAAGGGUAUUAAUGUUGAGGAAAUGGACCCAUUUUUCUUUUACUUACAUGUUAUUUAGAAAUUUGAAAUAAUUUCUCAUAGAAAAAUAUUCAUGUCAUAUUGUCUAUAAAAAUCACUAAAUGUAACUGCUGUAUUUCAUUAUUUUAAGUAAUAUUAUUGAUAUCAUUGGAUUCUUCAUGAAUUUAAAAUAAACCUUUAUUUAACAUGUUGCUUAAAAGUAACAUUGGGUAACUAACCAUAGACUAAUUUGAUUUAAUGCAGAAAGAGAAAAAUAAAAAUAAAACUUUGAAAUUUGAGAAAUGUAAAUGAUUGAUUUUGUAUCAUUUCAGUUUUGUAUCAUACACAUUAAUAAAAGUUUAAUAUUCUGUGCCAUGAAA